UAUCAAUAAGCGGAGGAAAAGAAACUAACAAGGAUUCCCCUAGUAACUGCGAGUGAAGAGGGAAAAGCUCAAAUUUGAAAUCUGGCAGUCUCUGGCUGUCCGAGUUGUAAUUUAGAGAAGUGUUACCCGUGCUGGACCGUGUAUAAGUCUCCUGGAAUGGAGCGUCAUAGAGGGUGAGAAUCCCGUCUUUGACACGGACUCCCAGUGCAUUGUGGUGCGCUCUCGAAGAGUCGAGUUGUUUGGGAAUGCAGCUCUAAAUGGGUGGUAAAUUCCAUCUAAAGCUAAAUAUUGGCGAGAGACCGAUAGCGAACAAGUACCGUGAGGGAAAGAUGAAAAGAACUUUGGAAAGAGAGUUAAACAGUACGUGAAAUUGCUGAAAGGGAAACGCUUGAAGUCAGUCGCGUUGACCAGGGAUCAACCUUGCUUUUAGUGAGGCGUACUUCCUGGUUUAACGGGUCAGCAUCAGUUUUGACCGCUGGAGAAAGGCUUGGGGAAUGUGGCAUCUCCGGAUGUGUUAUAGCCCCUUGUCGUAUACAGCGGUUGGGACUGAGGAACUCAGCACGCCGCAAGGCCGGGUUUUUAACCACGUUCGUGCUUAGGAUGCUGGCAUAAUGGCUUUAAGCGACCCC
rnacentral:rRNA from 1 species